CAAUGAAUCGCAAAGCUGGAACAAUAAUGGAUACAAGACAGACCAGCAAGCACAAAGCCAUCAUCUUAGUACUUAUGAGAAACAGAAGAACAUGGAGAUUUUGCAAUUUGAGCUGAAGCAGGCAGGAGCUCUGGCAGAAGAAGAGGCCUCCCGAGGGGCUUGGAGGUAAACAGCGGAGCCACCAAGGACAGUGUGCAGGAAUCAGAGUGAUGUUCUCUUUCAUGGGAAGAGGAAGCCAUACAACAACUACACCAGGGCAGAGCCCUCCAUGGGAGACAACAGCCUGUAAACUGCUGGGACUACCAGAGAACACCACAAACACCAGGAACCACCGGAAGGAGCCCACCAGCUGCAGAAAGGCAGCAAGAGGAUCAAAAGAGCAACGUCCCAGGCCGAGUCUGUGCCCUCCCUGCAUAUGCAUGAAGCCCACAUCGCCUUUCAGGACUUUGUGCAGAAGUCCAAGAAGCACAAAGCUGCAAAGAAGUGCUGCCGCCUACAUGCUGCCCCAGUUUCCCCAGGCGAAGGGUGAUGAUCUGGUGAAGCCACUGAAUCCCUGCCAGCAGGGAUUUGGAUCCAGAAGCAGGCAAGAGCAUCAGAGCAGCUGUGCUGCUCUGGAUCAAAGCCCACCAUCCGAUGGCCCGUCACUGGCAGCUGGUGGAAGCGAGUGCCCAGGGAGGAGAGCAAAAAGCGGGAUCUUUCCUCAGAGCCAAAAGGCUGUAACCAGAUAA
rnacentral:lncRNA from 1 species